rnacentral:rRNA from 1 species
GCUUAACACAUGCAAGUCGAACGGGGAGCGUGUGGGUAGCAAUACUCAUGAGCUUCUAGUGGCGCACGGGUGAGUAACACGUGAGUGACCUGCCCUGGGGUCCGGGAUACCCCUUCGAAAGGAGGGCUAAUACCGGGUGCGAUCUCUCUGCUGCGAGGCGGGGAGAGGAAAGGCCGUGGCAACACGGUCGCCGCAGGAGGGGCUCGCGGCCUAUCAGCUAGUUGGUGAAGUAAUGGCUCACCAAGGCGAUGACGGGUAGCUGGUCUGAGAGGACGACCAGCCACACGGGGACUGAGACACGGCCCCGACUCCUACGGGAGGCAGCAGUGGGGAAUUUUCCGCAAUGGGCGCAAGCCUGACGGAGUGACGCCGCGUGGGGGACGAAGGCCUUCGGGUCGUAAACCCCUGUCAGAGGGAAAGAAGGGGCGGGGAGUGAACUCUCGGUUCUGACGGUACCCUCAGAGGAAGCCCCGGCCAACUCUGUGCCAGCAGCCGCGGUAAGACAGAGGGGGCAAGCGUUGCUCGGAAUCACUGGGCGUAAAGGGCGCGUAGGCGGGACGCCAAGUCGGUCGUGAAAUCUCCGGGCUCAACCCGGAGGAGUCGGCCGAAACUGGUGUUCUUGAGGGAGGCAGAGGAGUCUGGAAUUCCCGGUGUAGCGGUGAAAUGUGUAGAGAUCGGGAGGAACACCGGUGGCGAAGGCGGGACUCUGGGCCUACCCUGACGCUGAGGCGCGAAGGCGUGGGGAGCAAACGGGAUUAGAUACCCCGGUAGUCCACGCGGUAAACGAUGACGACUAGGUGUGGGGGGGUUCAGUCCCUUCCGUGCCGCAGCUAACGCAUUAAGUCGUCCGCCUGGGGAGUACGGCCGCAAGGUUGAAACUCAAAGGAAUUGACGGGGGCCCGCACAAGCGGUGGAGCAUGUGGUUCAAUUCGAUGCAGAGCGAAGAACCUUACCUGGGCUUGACAUGCGCGAAGUAGAAGCCGGAAACGGGGACGACCUGUUGAGUCAGGAGCGCGCACAGGUGGUGCAUGGCUGUCGUCAGCUCGUGUCGUGAGAUGUUGGGUUAAGUCCCGCAACGAGCGCAACCCUCGCCCUUAGUUGCCAUCAUUCAGUUGGGCACUCUAGGGGGACUGCCGGUGAUAAGCCGAGAGGAAGGUGGGGAUGACGUCAAGUCCUCAUGGCCCUUACGGGCUGGGCUACACACGUGCUACAAUGGCGGUGACAAUGGGAUGCUGAGGGGCGACCCCGAGCAAAUCUCAAAAAGCCGUCUCAGUUCGGAUUGCACUCUGCAACUCGAGUGCAUGAAGGUGGAAUCGCUAGUAAUCGUAGAUCAGAACGCUACGGUGAAUACGUUCCCGGGCCUUGCACACACCGCCCGUCACA